GGGUCACACUUGAAAUGAAAAGUAAAAGUAUUUUCCUCCUGGGCAUCAUCAUUUCAGGACAAAUGCUCAGGGACACAGCGAAGCUACAUGUAAAUGUGCUAAGGUUGAGCUCGUCAUUUCAGAUUACAGGAGUGCACAGACAUACUGAAGACAGCAGAUGGAUGUCUCUAAUAAUGAAGACAAAAGAGGAACUGUGGAGCCUGAUGAAUGCUGUUUCUAAAAUCAGUAU